AUGGAUGCUCUCUCCCACCAUUUUUCUCAAGCUUAAAGCUUGAUUCUCUCCUCAUUUACUCACAUAAUUUCCGGCUAUAAAUGUUUUCUCAUAAGAUGAGGAGACAGGCAACCACUCGUCUGAAAUCCUCACAGCCCACAGCUCAUUUGCUGAAAUCUGAUAAGCCACACACAGAGAUGCAAACACACACACACACAAGUAGUGGAAAUUGUGGUAUUGUUUUGUAGUCUUCUACCGUGGCCUAUGAGUCUAUGACCAUCUCUCUCCCUCUGGAAUAUUAAUAUUUUUCAGGCAAAGGCCCAAGCACAAGUCUACACGUAUCCAAUCCCAUCGCAUUCACUUUCACACCCCUGCCCCACUUUCCCAUCUGGUUUUCCUUUUCCUUAAUUUUCAUUCAUUGAUUCGGUUAGAGAUUCCUUGCCCAGCCAAACCACUCACAUUGUUUGCACCUUACGGUUGGUGCAUUUCGUGUUCGUCACAAUUUGCUUUCUUCAAUACGCAUCUGCAAUAAUAACUCGUGAUUUCAUUUCAUGGGUUGCUUUUGUUCCCUUUUGCAUUGAUUAGUUCCAACUAUAUUUCCAUUCUUGGAUUUUUGUUUCUUUCUUUAUUUACUUGCUUGUUACCCGUUUGCCAUUUGCUCUUGAUCUACAUGGGUUCUAUGUCUUUUCCACCAAUAUGCUGACCUUGAUGCCUGUGGUGAGAAAUUAGAAAAUGAAGAUGGGAAGAAAUUUGGAGAAAGUAUAAAAGGGAUCUGCUGAUCAACCGCAUGAUUGAAGGAUUAUAUCAUGGUGACUGUGUCUAAAGAUGAUAUGGCUAUUAAAUCUUACCAAAGUCAGGCUGAGGUUCUGGUUAAGAAUUACUUAUUAGCAGCUCCUUUCAUUCCUUACACUUCUAUCCUUGGUGGCCUAGUUGCUGCCAAAGUGGCAUAUGAGUUUACACGAUUAAUAAGCAAUUUCUAUUUCAAGACUUAUGCUGGUCUUACAAAAAUUCAACGAAUUGAGUGGAACAAUAGGGGCUUGUCUUCUAUUCAUGCAAUUUUUAUCUCAGCUUUGUCAUUGUACUUAGUAUUUUGGUCAGACCUCUUUUCUGAUCAACGGCCUACUGAUUUUGUUACUUUACGAAGUUCACCACUCUGUAUUUUUGGACUGGGGGUAAGAGCUUUCCAUAUCAGUUCUCUAGUGAUAUCUGAUUAUUAACUGCUUGCACUCAGGUGUGGGCAUUAACGCACAUAUAAUGAGGGUUUUUCUGACAAGCUUAAUUUUUUUUCCCUGCUAAAUGGGUGCUUUAUGCACUGAAAGUGCUUUUAAUUGUUAUUUAAUUGACCUAAAGAUCUUUGUGAUUCAAAGACAGUAAAUGUUCUCUUUGGUUACUAAAAAAUUCUUUUCAAUCAUUUCAGUGUUAAAAUUUUGCCUAAUAAUAGUUCAACUUUUCCUGUGUGUUGGCUGUUGGUUGGAGAACAAAACAUAUUUAUUUAACUUCUUAUAUAUUAUAAAAUGUACUAGACCUAAAUUCAGUUUUGAAAAUGUAAAGUGUAUCUUAUUUGCAAAAUGUCUGUUUGACAAGGUAAGAUAUCCAUUCCUGAAUCCUGAUUUCCUGUGAGAUUUUUCUUUUCCUUUUGCAAAUUAAACUUAAAAUCAGCAUUAGGACUCCACUUUCAUGUUCAUUUAGGGUAUACUCUUCUUAUUUGUGAAACUUAGUAACUAACAAGAAUUGUGUUGAUGAAUCUGCUAGCAUUCAUACGUAUUACUUUUCAGGAUAUACUGGAGCCCGAAAUUUAUUGCCUUCUUUUAAUUUUGUAACAGUUUAGUUCUGCUAAGAUAUCAUAUACCUCAGCCUUUUAAUUUCACAACAUUUCAGUUCUUGUAAUAACAUAUCAUAUACUUCAGUCCUUAGGACGUACUUUAAAUAACAUUUGAGUCCUUUAGUUUUCUAGUGAAACUACUUCUUUAUCCCUUAAAGGUCAAAACAAAAAUGUUAUUUCAUCUAAAAGGUGACAGACUAGGAAGUUAUUUGACUUGAAAGAUGGAUAAAAAUAUUCAUUAAAGGACUAAAGUGUAUGUUUUCUAAACACCAAGGAAUAUUUAGUUUUGAAAAUGUGAUGAUAGAAGUGUGAAUUUUUGCCAAAUGUCAGGGGCCUUUAUUAUUUAUCCAAAUUAAUAUUCGCUUUCUUUUGACAGGUUUCUGUUGGGUACUUCUUUGCUGAUCUUGGGAUGAUUUUCUGGUUCUUCCCUUCUUUAGGAGGUUUGGAGUAUGUGAGUGCAUUCUACAAGAUGAAAGCCACAUGAAACAGUUUUAUUUACUCUUUUUUUUGUGGUUUUAUUUUUAAUUAUAUUUGAUUUCUUAUGCUGCAGGUCCAUCUUAAUUGAUUUCUUAUGCAUUUUUUCCUCUGUUUACUAUACUUUUCAUGAACAUCCCACACAUCCGUUUAUGAUAUGAAUGUUUUCCUUAAAUUGUGGAUUUUUGUGCCAAUUCACCAAGGUUUAACUCAUUAAACAAAAUUGCUUACCUAAGGAAGUCAAGUCAUGGCUUCUUACCUAGUAUUCCUUUGAUUUUCUUACAAUCUUGCCAUGCCCAAAUCACCAAUGGAUUAAUUACUUGAAGAAAAUCCAGAUUCUGCUUUUUGUAAUGUAAGAUUGCUAAUCACAUGAAAUUGAUCAUGGAAAGUAAUUAAUAGCCUGUAUUUUAGAAAGAAAACUGGUCAUGUAUCGGCAUAAACAUGAGUGCUCAUAGUCAAGCUUUUUUGUCAUAUAUGGGUGACUAUAGCAGAACGAAUUUCUUAUCCUUUAGUCUGUUGCAUUCUUCAUUUGAUUGUAUUCUAUUAACUUAACUCUCAAUUCAAAUCUACCAAACAUAUGUGGUCAAAUAGUGUGUGACUUAUUAAAAGGAUCUGAGAGUAACUCAACAUGUUGACACCUGAUUUCAGGUUAUCCAUCAUUCUCUUUCAGCAAUUGCCGUAGCAUAUUCUAUGUUUUCUGGAGAAGGGCAGCUUUAUACAUUCAUGUGUCUCAUCUCCGAAGUAACAACUCCUGAGAUUAACAUGAGAUGGUAUCUAGAUACAGCUGGCAUGAAAAGAUCCGCUGCGUAUCUUAUCAAUGGAGUAGUGAUCUUUCUGGCUUGGUUGGUGAGUUUAAUUUCGCUUUAAGCCAUUGCUGAUUGGCUUGCUAGUGAUCACUCAGAUUAAAAUUAUUGCCAAUACAUUUGUAUAAAUACAAUUUUAUGCAUAUAAAAGGGCAAACUGAUUCAAAUGAUCAAUCAUGGUUGUGGUUGACAGAUUCAAGUAACUGACCAUGUGAUGAUGUUUCUAAGUCUGGAAAUAAGUUGGCUCUACUGUAAGCCACUUGGGUGGAAAGAACUGAUGAAUUCCUUAUAUUUAAGAUGAAAAGAAUACUGUUUUUGUGAAUUUAUUACUUUUUUUUAGUACUUUCUGAAGUAAAAAAUUCAUUGCAGAUCGCAAGAGUACUGCUAUUUGUUUAUAUGUUUCACCACAUCUACCUGCACUAUGAUCAGGUGAUGGCUCCCUUAAAUUUGUAUCUUCUAGGCUUUGGAUUUACGGAAAUUGGAAAUUUUCCUUGUCUGCAACUAUUCUGCUGAUUUGAAUGAUAUUGCCUAUUGUGCAAUGGCAUGAAACUCUAUAGGAUUUUCCAUAUUGUUUGCAUUUUGUUCUCUGCUUAACUGCUAAGAGGAAGGAAAAAUAGAAGAACAAAACUUCAUAAACAUUUCCAAAACCAACUAUGCAACAGAAAAGAAACUUUUUUUUCCUAUGCUUUUCAUCCAUUGUAUUUGCAGGAGUAUGGAGCAAAAGUAUGGAAAAGUUAUUAAAUUAACCUGCUCUUGCUGCAAUUGAUUUAGUGGCCAUAGGAUUUUAACGUAAUUAUUUCUUAACUGUAAUUUUUUUGACAUGAACCAACAGGCUAGUUCCAUUCUGGAGCAUUGUUGUUAGAAUUGGAUGUGCCAUGUGGACUCCCAGAGUCCCAGUUGGAACUAGCCUGGGGGACUGUAAAUGGACCCACCUUAUUACUCAAAUAAUGCUAUGUCUGCUGUUUUUGUUCCACAAUGGCUUUUUUUAUUAUUUCUCAUUAAUUUGUAUGUGUACUAUUUUUUGUUAAUCAAGUGUAAUAUCUCUUGAUAUUCUCUUGUUUUUCCCUUGGAUUGCAACCGGCUUACCAAUAUUUUCUUAUCUUUUCCCUAUCAUCUUCCAACAUCACAUGUUUACCCCCAUAACUAUGGGAAUGUGGCUUUUGAAUAUGAAAAAUUUUAGGGAACCAGUGAUGAUUUCAAGCUUAUUGAUUGAUUGGCAGGUUGUCCAGAUGAGCCCCUUUGGUCGUCUUGUCGUUUUUGCAGUGCCAUCAGCACUAUUUAUUAUGAAUUUGAUGUGGUUUGCUAAAAUCAUCAAAGGAUUGAUGAAAACUUUAGCCAAGAGACAGUGAUCUUAACAGUGAUCUUAUCUUUAUCAUCAUACAUACAAGGUCAACCAAUAUGUUUCUCUCAAUGGAUGUAGUAUUCCUCUGUAUUUUACUGUCUUCUCUGCUUUAUAAAUCAUUGAGGGGGCAAAAAGGGAAAAGGAAAAUAGAAGGUAAUCUGAUAUUCUUAGUUGAUGGAAUCAAAUUUUUGUAUAUGAUUACUCAUUCAGUGCUUACCACUAGUUAGAGAAAAAAGAUCACAGGUUUAGUUCUUGCAAUUUCGUAUAUUUGGAUGUUAAAAGCUGAUGGGCUGCCUUUUUGACAAAUAUCAUUUGCUAUUAUUUCCUUAUUGUUAAUUUUUUUUUUAGUUUUUUU
rnacentral:misc_RNA from 1 species